rnacentral:sRNA from 1 species
CUUAUAACAUACAUAUAUUAUAUACAUGUACAAACACAGCAUUUUUUUUUUUUACAACAUUCAUGAUUCUAUUAUACCUUGCAUAGAGAGAGAGAUAAAAAAAAAUUGUUCAAACAUGUCUGCGUUGAAUUAAGAAGUGAACCGAUUGAUUGUUGAUAUUUAUACCGUCAUCUUUCUUUUCUUUUGAUGUAUGAUUUCAGUGACACCAAGAUGCUUGUUACUGGUUUUUCUUUCUCUCUUUCUUCCUUCUUCUGUGUGUGCGAGUUGAACAAGAUGCUAGUUAGUUAUAUUUUUAUUGUUGAGAAUUUAGUCUGACUUUGUUGGGAUUUCUUCAUAAAAUGGCAAAUACCAAAAUGUCUUAAUUUUUAUAUAAUCAUACAAAUGUGCUCACCCAGUCUAUUGUGUGUGUGUGGUUUUUUUUUUAAAUGAGUAUAAAAUAUCUCUGUUCAUGAUAUCACGUGUGUGAUGAGACUAAUACAUUAUGCUUAACUAUC